GGAUAAAAAAAAACAACUCAUACUCUCGCCAACCACUCCCGCAAAGUAGGAAAGAAAUGUUGUAGGUAGUUCAUGCAUGGGGAUGUAAUGUGUUGGCACUUGCCAAAAACCUUCGGAAAAGGCUCAAACAAUUAUCCCAGCAGUGGUGGACUGGUGGUCCAUUAUUCCAACCACCGCACACCCAACACCACCAACUAAAAACGCACUCAAAGCGCAUAUUAGCCACACCUGCCACGUAAUCCAACAAAGAAAACCAAAUAUCCACCCCACAAAAACAUUACCAGUUCCACCACCACCGCCCCAACCACCACUCCACCACCACCAUAUAAUUCCUCCUCAUCUUCUCACAACAACCAAACCAAAACCCUAACAAAAAAAAGUCAUCAUGUCUCAACAACCUUCGGAGGAGAAAAUACCUUCAUCAUCAGAAACCACCAAACCACCACCAUCGUCAUCAUCGACAGCAAUCCCAACACCACCUAAAAAAAUCCCCCCAAUUCCAUGGACGCAUCUAGAAACAGUAAACCUAAUCGAAGUCUACCGCAACAAAUGGUAUUCAUUAAAACGAGGUCAAUUGAAAGCAUCACAAUGGGAAGAAGUAGCUAAUACGAUUGCAUCAAAUUGUGGUUUCGAUGAACCAUCGAAAUCAUCCACACAGUGCAGGCAUAAAAUGGAGAAACUCCGUAAACGUUACCGAUCUGAGAAACAACGACCGGUGGCUUCUAAUUGGAUUUAUUUUGAUUUAAUGGAUCAGAUGGAACGGGGGAUUUUUCCGUUAACUGUGAAACCGAUUUCUUCAAUCCCACCACCAGCCCCGGGUCAAAAUCAGUCAACGGAUGAUGAUGAAGAAGACGAGGUUGAUGAUGAUAACGAAGAUAAUGAUGGAUUUAAUAAUGUAAUACGGUCCAGAAGUAUUAAUCAUAUCUUGAGAAGGCCGCCGAUUGUUUCUAGAGUUGUUGAUAAGAGGAGGAGUAAUUCAUAUUCGUUGCCGCCACAGCAGCAGCAGCCGCAGGUGACGCAGAAUUGGAAGAGUUCGAGGAGGCCCUUGGAACGGAAGAGGAAGUCGUUUGAGAUGGAAGAGGAAGAGGUUGAGGAAGAAGAGGAGGUGGAGGAGGAAAAUGGUUUUGGUGGUGGUGGUGAUGGGGGAUUGGGUGGGAGAGGUGGAGAGUUGUUAAUGGAAUUGGCAUCGGUGAUACGGAAAUUCGGUGAAGGGUUUGUGAAAACUGAGAAUAUGAAGAUGGAAAUGAUGAGGGAAUUGGAGAGGAAUCGUAUGGAAAUGGAAGCAAAGAGGACUGAAAUGAUUAUCAAUUCGCAGAAUAGGAUUAUUGAUACGAUUAAUAAAGCGUUUGCGUCGCGGAAGAAGGCUAAGGAGGAGGCUUGAUGAAUUGCGCUAAAUGAAGUUCAGGUUCAUUACUAAUUAUAGUAGAUACUUGUGUUGUUUUUUUUUUUCCUUUCUCUUUUUUAUAGGUAUUAUUAGAAUUACUUUUGAUUAGUAAAGACUCUUUCGGAGUAAUCUGAUUGAUUGUAGAUGCUUUCAAAAUCCUAGCCGGUUCAUGCCGAGGUUUGAAAAAAAUGGUAUAUGGUUCUAAGUUGAUUAGUACGGUGUUAGCUAAGUGAGAAUCUAGGUAACUAUAAACAGCAUUGACAACACUUUAUUUGGUUAGGCUUUGUAAAAAAGGUGGAGGUUUUAACCUAUUGCAAUUAAUAAUAACAUGUCUAGACAGACGACUAAACAAGUGCAUGCUAAACUAAAAGAGAGUCUUUUGUUUAUUUAUUUACUUGUUUAGAGGGAAUCGCUUGUAUAAAUUUUCACUUAGGGAGUGGGCAAAAGUUUACAUGUUUGGACUUUCAUUUUUGAGGAAAGUCUAUAUUCCCAAUUGUGAUGUCCUCUUUGUUAUUGUAAAAAUAUGUUUUCUAACUAGGAGAAGAAAAGUUGUCUCCGAGUUCUGUUGGAUUGAAGGUGUGAUAUUCUGGGCUGAAACAACAAAUAUCGUGUAGGUGUUUUUCUGGCAUGAUAUGAAUCAUGAGUAAACCUACUCUGUUUAGGAUUUUGAUUUCUAUCUACCAGUUUAGUUUUUGCUGGUUGAGGCUUGAGAAUUAUUAGUUAUGACUGCUUUUAUUUUACCUAAUUAUGAUAGUUGAGGUCUGCGUUUCAACUUCCGUGGUUUGGGAUAUCGGAUUAAUCAUUUUGUUGGAAGAGAUGGUGGUGCUCAGUGCGUAGGAAAUGCUGAUCAAAGUUUGUUUCAUGUACUUCAAAUGAACUUUGAUGUGGCUCUAACACUACCAUCAUCUAUCCUCAUUUCAGUGCUAGAUAUGGUUUAUAGGUUUAUUUCACUCUGCAGUAAGACCUACUGUCAAGUAGGAAAAAUCUUGUAACUUACAUUCACCAAUUAGUCCUACCUGACUUAUCUUCACUGGCACCAAACUUCUUCUUCUGGGUAUACCAUUGCUUUGUGGUAUAUGAGGCCGUUCUAAGUUUCCUAGAGCAAAUAUUUGACACUCUAAUGUCAACGUGUAGAGGUUGCUUUUACUUAUUGUAGCUCAUUACAUUGCUUCAACUAGUCCCCCUGUUCCUCGAACGGAUCUCUUAGUUGUUGAGAAGCGGUAUAAGGCUUACCUGGGAAAACUUACAAGUGAACCUGGUUAUUAGUCGCAAGAGAAGUAGAUAGAAUGACCUCUAUUUCAUGUGUUAGUGGUCCUCCAUUCUAUUGCAUGCCCCUGCGUCAACUUAAGUGGUAUGUUAGGCUAAGUGUUACCAAUGCAAUAGACGUGUUUCAGGUAACCUAAAUGCUGUUAGAAAAUCAGGUUUAUAAUGUUCAGCUGAAUUGGUGUUAAGUUGAGAAGUUCGGAGUCUCUCAGGAGCUUUAAAUACCCUGUAUUUGCGGUAAAGGACUUGAUGAUGGUCAGUUUUUCUAAAUAGAGCUGCAGGUUUCUAUUUGAAUGUGAAAACGAGCUGAUUUGUGAUGUUAUGAAGAUAUCUGGAUUCAAUGUAAUUGUUUUCUGAAUGCCCCAGUCCACAGUCUUCAGAACGCCUUGAUCAUUAUGCUGCACAGUAAUACCCAGAAAAAAAGAAGUGAUCGAAAUCUAUUUCUGGAUCAUUAAGGGCCGUGCAGUUGAAAUUUUGUAGUGUGCUAGAUCCAGCAAGAUAUACUCUUUAAAGAUCAAUUAGGCCGGUCGGAAAUACCCAGAGGGAAGAUAAUUUCUGUUUCAGUUCCAUUUCAGAAACUCAAAUGCUUUCCUUUAUGCGCAUCUUUUGAUAGAUGUUUUUGUGAUGUCUUAUUACCAAUUGCCAUGCUAGCUUUUGUAAUGCUU